rnacentral:rRNA from 1 species
AUUGAACGCUGGCGGCAGGCCUAACACAUGCAAGUCGAACGGUAACAGGAAGCAGCUUGCUGCUUCGCUGACGAGUGGCGGACGGGUGAGUAAUGUCUGGGAAGCUGCCUGAUGGGGGGGGAUAACUACUGGAAACGGUAGCUAAUACCGCAUAAUGUCGCAAGACCAAAGAGGGGGACCUUCGGGCCUCUUGCCAUCGGAUGUGCCCAGAUGGGAUUAGCUUGUUGGUGGGGUAACGGCUCACCAAGGCGACGAUCCCUAGCUGGUCUGAGAGGAUGACCAGCCACACUGGAACUGAGACACGGUCCAGACUCCUACGGGGGGCAGCAGUGGGGAAUAUUGCACAAUGGGCGCAAGCCUGAUGCAGCCAUGCCGCGUGUAUGAAGAAGGCCUUCGGGUUGUAAAGUACUUUCAGCGGGGAGGAAGGGAGUAAAGUUAAUACCUUUGCUCAUUGACGUUACCCGCAGAAGAAGCACCGGCUAACUCCGUGCCAGCAGCCGCGGUAAUACGGAGGGUGCAAGCGUUAAUCGGAAUUACUGGGCGUAAAGCGCACGCAGGGGGUUUGUUAAGUCAGAUGUGAAAUCCCCGGGCUCAACCUGUGAACUGAUUCUGAUUCUGGUAAUCUUGACUUUUGUAGAGGGGGGGGAGAAUUUCUGUGUACAGUCUAAAUGC